CGGACGGGUGAGUAAUGUCUGGGAAACUGCCUGAUGGAGGGGGAUAACUACUGGAAACGGUAGCUAAUACCGCAUAACGUCGCAAGACCAAAGAGGGGGACCUUAGGGCCUCUUGCCAUCGGAUGUGCCCAGAUGGGAUUGGCUAGUAGGUGGGGUAACGGCUCACCUAGGCGACGAUCCCUAGCUGGUCUGAGAGGAUGACCAGCCACACUGGAACUGAGACACGGUCCAG
rnacentral:rRNA from 1 species